GACGAACGCUGGCGGCGUGCCUAAUACAUGCAAGUCGAACGCAGUGGGGACGGGUGCGUAACACGUGGGUAACCUCCCAUCAGAGGGGAUAACACUUGGAAACAGGUGCUAACCUGAUACUGAUUGAUGGACCCGCGGUGCAUUAGCUAGUCGGUGAGGUAACGGCUCACCAAGGCGACGAUGCAUAGCCGACCUGAGAGGGUGAUCGGCCACACUGGAACUGAGACACGGCCCAGACUCCUACGGGAGGCAGCAGUAGGGAAUCUUCGGCAAUGGACGAAAGUCUGACCGAGCCACGCCGCGUGAAUGAAGAAGGUUUUCGGAUCGUAAAGCUCUGUUGUUAGAGAAGCGGUAUCUAACCAGAAAGCCACGGCUAACUACGUGCCAGCAGCCGCGGUAAUAC
rnacentral:rRNA from 1 species